rnacentral:rRNA from 1 species
UACGUAGGGUGCGAGCGUUGUCCGGAAUUACUGGGCGUAAAGAGCUCGUAGGUGGUUUGUUGCGUUGUCCGUGAAAACUCACAGCUCAACUGUGGGCGUGCGGGCGAUACGGGCAGACUGGAGUACUGCAGGGGAGACUGGAAUUCCUGGUGUAGCGGUGGAAUGCGCAGAUAUCAGGAGGAACACCGGUGGCGAAGGCGGGUCUCUGGGCAGUAACUGACGCUGAGGAGCGAAAGCGUGGGGAGCGAACAGG